UGUACUUGGAGACAAUUCAAUAAUGAACACCACAUCUCUGUCUGGUGGCAAUCCAUGUAAAUCAUUCCGGAAACACAUUAGGAAAAUGUCUACCACUCGUACGUCAUCCACAAUACUAGGAGUACGAUCCUGCAACACCACAUGAGCUAGGUAUCCUUGGCAACCCUUUGAUAAUAAUCUUUUUGCUCUCACAACAGAAAUAACGGCAUGCCUAACUCCACUUUGCUCAAUCACAAAAGUAACCUUUGAUAAUCCAAGACAAUGGAAAGUAACUGAUUUCCCGUAGCAAUCCAUAUUGGCACGAUUAAUGUAACCAAUAUGUGCCUAAAAUCACAUCAAAAUCCACGAUGUCUAGCAGGAUACGAUUCGCUGGCAUAACUACUUCUUCCACCAUCACUGGACACCCUGAAUAGUCAUAACAAACAUAGAAUGACCUACCUGUUUACUUGCUUAACGAAUCCAACAAAUAAGUUAUGGGUAUUACGGUCUGCAGCCCGCAAUAACGAUAACUCACUGUCGUCUCGAUAAGUAAGCAACAAUUCUUAAGGGUGCAAUAUUAUCAUUUUACUCCUCACAGGGAAAAUACAUAUAUACGCCUCGAUCAUGCUCAUUCACUACUUCCUUUGGCAACAUUGUCCAUGAUAAGAAUUAUAUCAGCCGGAGUCAGCUAGAAUGACCUGUACAGCUGAGUCUACAGCUCGAUCAUCCAUGUUAGCACAUAAGUCGGAGUCACUUAUAGUGACCUGUACGACUUACCCAUCAAUUUUCCAAGUAAUAUGCCGAGGAAGACUGCUAGGUAACAACUGAUCCUAGGGACAAUUCAUACCUCUAUGUCUCAUCUAACCACAUGAACACAUUCACAACUUCCCACACUCUCCAAAGUGCCUAAUAUUGUACCUACGGUGCAAAGAUACAUUUCCUCUACCAGAGUCACCUUGUCUCUGAAAUCUGGGAUCACUAGUAAAUCUAUCACUUCGCCUAGAACCAAUGGCACUAAAACCUCAGCUGGGAAAAUUAGCUCUAAUUUCACUUCUUUUGAAGCUCUGAGUCUUCCGAGGUCUUUGAUAUGACGGAUCUUUAACUUUAUCGUCUUUCUUCUGAUUCUCAUUCUUUUCUUAUUUCUCUUUACUCUUGCUGAUCAUGUUCUCAAAGUCCUCAAUGGUCAACAACAUCUCGUAAACUCCUAAUAAAAAGUACAAUGAAUAGGGGUCGCCAAAGAACGCCACUUCUUCUUAUUAUCCAGCCAAAAACGACAUAACACCUCGACCGGAUUAGCAACAACAUCCGAAUGGAA
rnacentral:lncRNA from 1 species